rnacentral:rRNA from 1 species
AGGACGAACGCUGGCGGCAUGCCUAACACAUGCAAGUCGAACGCUCUUGGGGCUUCGGUUCCAAGGGAGUGGCGCACGGGUGAGUAGCGCGUGGGAACCUGCCCUGGAGUGGGGGAUAACCGAGGGAAACUUCGGCUAAUACCGCAUGCGCCCGGGAAACCGGGGAAAGAUUUAUCGCUCUAGGAGGGGCCCGCGUCGGAUUAGCUAGUUGGUGGGGUAACGGCCUACCAAGGCUUUGAUCCGUAGCUGGUCUGAGAGGAUGAUCAGCCACACUGGGACUGAGACACGGCCCAGACUCCUACGGGAGGCAGCAGUGGGGAAUAUUGGACAAUGGGCGCAAGCCUGAUCCAGCAAUGCCGCGUGAGUGAUGAAGGCCUUCGGGUUGUAAAGCUCUUUCGCACGCGAGGAUGAUGACGCUAGCGUGAGAAGAAGCCCCGGCUAACUUCGCGCCAGCAGCCGC